AGAGUUUGAUCCUGGCUCAGAUUGAACGCUGGCGGCAGGCCUAACACAUGCAAGUCGAACGGUAACAGGAAGAAGCUUGCUCCUUUGCUGACGAGUGGCGGACGGGUGAGUAAUGUCUGGGAAACUGCCUGAUGGAGGGGGAUAACUACUGGAAACGGUAGCUAAUACCGCAUAACGUCGCAAGACCAAAGAGGGGGACCUUCGGGCCUCUUGCCAUCGGAUGUGCCCAGAUGGGAUUAGCUAGUAGGUGGGGUAACGGCUCACCUAGGCGACGAUCCCUAGCUGGUCUGAGAGGAUGACCAGCCACACUGGAACUGAGACACGGUCCAGACUCCUACGGGAGGCAGCAGUGGGGAAUAUUGCACAAUGGGCGCAAGCCUGAUGCAGCCAUGCCGCGUGUAUGAAGAAGGCCUUCGGGUUGUAAAGUACUUUCAGCGGGGAGGAAGGGAGUAAAGUUAAUACCUUUGCUCAUUGACGUUACCCGCAGAAGAAGCACCGGCUAACUCCGUGCCAGCAGCCGCGGUAAUACGGAGGGUGCAAGCGUUAAUCGGAAUUACUGGGCGUAAAGCGCACGCAGGCGGUUUGUUAAGUCAGAUGUGAAAUCCCCGGGCUCAACCUGGGAACUGCAUCUGAUACUGGCAAGCUUGAGUCUCGUAGAGGGGGGUAGAAUUCCAGUGUAGCGGUGAAAUGCGUAGAGAUCUGGAGGAUUACCGGUGGCGAAGCGCCCCUGGACGAGACUGACGCUCAGUGCGAAGCGUGGGGAGCAAACAGAUAGAUACCUGGUAGUCACGCGUAACGAUGUCGACUUGAGUUGUGCCCUUGAGCGUGGCUUCNGAGCUACGCGUAGUCGACGGCUGGGA
rnacentral:rRNA from 1 species